AUGCCUUAAACUUAUGAGUAAGGAAAAUAACAAUGUGGGGUGACGCCAGAGUCCUCACUGCUAAUAUGAGAAGAAUUUUUGAGCGGGUAAAGGUUGCCCCCUAGGCGACCUUCCUACUUUGUGGUAUGCCUGGGUGCGAUAGUCUGCCUG